rnacentral:rRNA from 1 species
GACGAACGCUGGCGGCGUGCUUAACACAUGCAAGUCGAACGGAAAGGCCCUGCUUUUGUGGGGUGCUCGAGUGGCGAACGGGUGAGUAACACGUGAGUAACCUGCCCUUGACUUUGGGAUAACUUCAGGAAACUGGGGCUAAUACCGGAUAGGAGCUCCUGCUGCAUGGUGGGGGUUGGAAAGUUUCGGCGGUUGGGGAUGGACUCGCGGCUUAUCAGCUUGUUGGUGGGGUAGUGGCUUACCAAGGCUUUGACGGGUAGCCGGCCUGAGAGGGUGACCGGCCACAUUGGGACUGCGGUACGGCCCAGACUCCUACGGGAGGCAGCAGUGGAGAAUAUUGCACAAUGGGCGGAAGCCUGAUGCAGCAACGCCGCGUGCGGGAUGACGGCCUUCGGGUUGUAAACCGCUUUCGCCUGUGACGAAGCGUGAGUGACGGUAAUGGGUAAAGAAGCACCGGCUAACUACGUG